UUAAAUGCAACCAAAAUUGCCUAAAGAAUGCAGGAAACCCACGUGACAUGCGGAGAUUCCAGGUGAGUCCCUCUUGCUUUUCUUAUAUCUUAAUCAUGACUUGAACAUGAAGAUGAGGGGAAAACAUUUUUUUUUCUUUUCUUUCUUUCUUUUUUUUUUUUUUGGCAGAAGGUAUGGAGGAUAAUUGUUUCUCUAGAGGUGAAGAGCAGGUGAGGCUACUGGUCCCCAGGCAUCUCUGCAAUCUCAGAGUUGUUUUUGUUAGACAAAAAUUGGGGCUGUACCACCUGCGCCCACUGAUGAAGGCAGCUGUGUCCUUAGAGCCUCAUCUUGGCUUCCUGUAUGGACUCACGUGAUGAGACAGGCACAGAUUAAGUCAACUACACAGAGACGAUGGCUUUAUUUGCUAAAAUUUUUGUAAGUAGAGCUUUGCUGAGGAAGAGCACCAGGAAGUGACACCAGGAAGCCCCACCAUGAUUCUCUACUGUCUCUCACAAUCUCAGCAGCUGCUAGCACCAACUACAGCUUGUAAGUGGACCCUUGAGAAGCAGACCAUAUCUAUACCCUCUGUUCUGCUUCAGGAAUGCCCCUGUACCCCACAUGUACAUUUUAAUAAAUAUCUUCCAGAUCUGCUGCCGUUUAAAGCACACUAACCUGAUAGAAUAUGCCAAAGGACUGAAAACCUAAAAUCAAAUGGAGUGACAUCUCAAACACGGGUGUUUUAAGAAUGCUAGACACAAUACUACUGCAACUUUACGUGUUGAGAAUCCCCUAGGACCUUGUUAAAGUACUGAUUGGGAUGGGGGUAGGGUGGGGCUGGAAUUCUAUGUUUCUAACAAGCUCCCAGGUGACGUAGAACCAGGGAACAGAUCGCAAGUAGCAAAGUUAAGUCCCGGCCCUGCACUGCUCUCCGUCUCACUUUGUGGGUAAGGUAUUUGCCCUGUCAACGUUAUUCGUGCUUGCUCAACCUGUCACAGAGACAGCUUGCUGUUGAAAGUUUGCUCCUACGCCUGUUUAGUCAGCUCAAAGUGCAGUUUUAAGUGUAUAGGCUCCAAAAGGUGCUUGAUAAAUUUCAGCUAUGGGAUCUCUGAAGGGAAAUAAGGAGUUUCUGAGCAUUGAUUGUGGAUGUCAAUAUCAUAGUCUUCAAAAUGAUUUUUUUUAAAAGAAAGUGAGACUUAUUAGUCUCAUUAAAGAAUAAAUCCCGUGGAAGGAUGUUAUCGUCUCCUGAGAUCUUAGAGAAUUUCUAUAAAAUCAUGUUAGCCUUACCACAUUUAGUCUUGAUAGAGCUGUAUCUGGAGAAUCCAAUAAAGUUUUAGUUUCUUAGAAACCAUUUCCUGUCCACCUCUGCCUGCAAAUGGUGAUGCUACUGUUUUCAAAGUAUCUUUUUUCAGCUUAUGCUAUUUGAUAGCUUGCUGCAGUUUUCAGAUGUAUAAUUCCUUUGGUCAAGUUUGAGUAAGGAACAAAUAUAUACAGGCAAUUUGAAUGAAACAAUUUGUGUAUAAUAAUCAUGAGUUUGUCAUCAUCUAUACUAUAUCCCUCAGGGCAGUAGAACUGGAUGGACUUUGGUGAUACUGGGGGUUGCUGCUUGAAGAAUAUUUAUGUAGAGUUUUACAGGACCUGCUAGUGAGUGUGGGUCUUAGAAAUAUAGCUCUGAGGCAAGACAAGAAGUCAUUUCAGUAUUUUCUUUUUGAGCAUUGGGAAAAAAAAGCCACCACUUGUUUAUAAGAUAGUGUAUAAAUGAUAAAGUUUGGCUUUGAGGGAAAAUUUGAGGGAUAAAUUUAAUUAAGCCCUUAAUUUAAUCUAGAACUUCUUAACUUGGGCACAGUGAGUCUCUCUCUCUCUCUCUCUCUCUCUCUCUCUCUCUCUCUCUCUCUCUCUGUGUGUGUGUGUGUGUGUUGUGUGUGUGUUCUGUGCAUUAUAGGAUGAUCACUUAUAUCACAGUCAUGGAAUAGCAAUAGAGAACAGCCCAUUUUCCUUCACAUGACUAAUGAAGGGUCUCUAGACAUUAUUAGAUGCCAUUGAUAAGAAGAAGAGAGACAAAGUAACCCCUGAUGGCAAGCUACUGGUUCUUCCCUACACUUGAUGACCUUUGACUAAGUUCACGGUGACAACAUUGGUGCUAUAGUAACUGCAUCCUUUGAUUAGGAAUAAUUGUCUUCCUACCCAAGGUCUAUACUGACCUUUAAAUACACAUGACUGAUGUGAAUGCUGGCAGCGCUCUUGCCUUUUUGACCCCCACAGAGAUUCUAAAUAGAAAGAGCUUUCUCCAAAGGAAUAGCUACCUUGGCCACCACAGACACAAGCCCAGGAUUCAGAGAAAUUGUAUCUUUAUCAGCCAGGACAAACUUCUUGUUGGAUCUUGGGUUCAACCUACUGUGUUUCCAUCACCCACUCUGAGCAGUGGGAACUGUGGGCUGAAGGUCUUUGAAACCUGGUUCAUGGAUUCAGUUUAGCUGUCUAGUUGCUUGGUUGAACCUUAAGCCUAUGACCUCCACAAUGAACUCAUGAUCUCCCUCAUUUAUUUUUUUUCCUCUCCUUGUCAAACUGGAUUCUCCUCCUUUCUUCUCUGCCAUGGUUUAUUUCUAGCUAACUCCAUUAAUUUCUGGUAGAUGACUGUUCAUACCAGUAUCUGUAUUCAUUUAAUUCCAUAUUCAUAUGUGUAGAUGCUAUGUCUACCUUUAAAUAUAUCCAUGGACAUUGCUGUUGAUAAUGAUGAUAAUGAUGGUGAUGAUGCAGAAGAAGAUGAAGCUAACAUUAAUUGAGUGCUUAUUUCAUGACAGGUAUAACGUGAAAUGUUUUACACGAAUUAUAGCUAUUGUCAGAGCAUCCCUAUUAAAAACAUGCAAAUAUGGAUUAUUCCCAUUUCAGCAAGAAAAAAGUGAGCUUAGAGCAGUAAAGGAGUUCUGUUGAAAUUAUAUCCCUGUCAAGUGGAGGUUCAAGUCACACACUGUGACUUGGCUAUUACCUAAUGCUUUGGGACAACAAAGAACUUAUCCAGAGUCUGUUGCUAGAUACUUGGUGAGGCAAAAAGGAUAUCUGUGAACAUCCAAAAUCCAUAUCAACACCCUAGGAAUAAGUGAUAGAAUCGCAGGAGAGCUUAGAAAAGUCUUCCCAAAGAGACUUCAUGCAUGUGGAUUCAACCUAACCCAAGUUCAUGAAACAGGUGGGCUACAGCCCUGAGUAGUUCCUAUUUGUGGGGAAAUUUGGAAAUUCAGCAACUAUAUGAGCAUAACUCUUGCCACAAAUGGCAGUUUGGACCAAUUCUCUAGGACAAGAAAGCCCCCUUUGUGCAUUGCAAUGGAGUGGGGCCGCCCUUAGACAUCUAGAGGAUCUUGAAUUUGAGGUUCCCAAAUCUUAGAAUCUCAGGAUCCAAAAAAGGGAAGGGUGUGUACAAGUGCACGCACACAUUCCUGAUAGUGACUGAAGGUUCCCUACAAACAAGGGAUAUUUCUGUCUCUUGUUUUCAUAGCAGAGACAUUGAGACUCUGGUUUUAUGCACUUUUUAUGUCCCUGUUGUCCAUGAGAAGAACUGAAAAGGGUCUCUUUGGUAUGAACAACUCUGAUCCACUCUUUGCAUAUAAGUAAUAUUGAAAGGCCAACUUCCAGAAAGUACUGACAGAUGCAUCCUUCAUGGCCCAAGAGAUGGUAUUCGUCAGCUGUCCUUGAUGUGGCUUCUCUUUUGUCUCUUUUGUAUGUUUCCCUCAUCAGUCCUAUCUUCACACAGUCAAGCUACUUUGUGUCUCCUCAGAAGAGCAAUCAGAGACCCAUGUAGGUGUCCCAGAAAGGCAUAAGAAAGGUUGCUGAUCUCCUGACGUGUGAAGACAUUCUGUAAGGCUGACUUAGCCUUACAGUGGCUGACCUUCUGUGUAAACAGAGACUUAAUUACACAGGUCAUGUCAAUUAGUGUGACCUGAGUGUUCUAAAAAAAUUAAUCACUUUCUGAAAAGCUUAGGGAGUGUGGCAUAAGCCUUGUAGAAAACUUGGUACAAUCUCU
rnacentral:lncRNA from 1 species